UAAUACGUAGGUGGCAAGCGUUGUCCGGAUUUAUUGGGCGUAAAGCGAGCGCAGGCGGUUUCUUAAGUCUGAUGUGAAAGCCCCCGGCUUAACCGGGGAGGGUCAUUGGAAACUGAGGAACUUGAGUGCAGAAGAGGAGAGUGGAAUUCCAUGUGUAGCGGUGAAAUGCGUAGAUAUAUGGAGGAACACCAGUGGCGAAGGCGACUCUCUGGUCUGUAACUGACGCUGAGGCUCGAAAGCGUGGGGAGCAAACAGGAUUAGAUACCCUGGUAGUCCACGCCGUAAACGAUGAGUGCUAAGUGUUGGAGGGUUUCCGCCCUUCAGUGCUGCAGCUAACGCAUUAAGCACUCCGCCUGGGGAGUACGGUCGCAAGACUGAAACUUAAAUGAAUUGACGG
rnacentral:rRNA from 1 species